rnacentral:rRNA from 1 species
GACGAACGCUGGCGGCGUGCUUAACACAUGCAAGUCGUACGGUAAGGCCCUUUCGGGGGUACACGAGUGGCGAACGGGUGAGUAACACGUGAGUAACCUGCCCACAACUUUGGGAUAACGCUAGGAAACUGGUGCUAAUACUGGAUAUGUGCUCCUGCUGCAUGGUGGGGGUUGGAAAGCUCCGGCGGUUGUGGAUGGACUCGCGGCCUAUCAGCUUGUUGGUGGGGUAGUGGCCUUCCAAGGCGGCGACGGGUAGCCGGCCUGAGAGGGUGACCGGCCACAUUGGGACUGAGAUACGGCCCAGACGCCUACGGGAGGCAGCAGUGGGGAAUAUUGCACAAUGGGCGCAAGCCUGAUGCAGCAACGCCGCGUGCGGGAUGACGGCCUUCGGGUUGUAAACCGCUUUCAGCAGGGACGAAGCUUUUUGUGACGGUACCUGCAGAAGAAGCACCGGCUAACUACGUG